rnacentral:rRNA from 1 species
AGAACGAACGCUGGCGGCAUGCCUAACACAUGCAAGUCGAACGAGACCUUCGGGUCUAGUGGCGCACGGGUGCGUAACGCGUGGGAAUCUGCCCUGGGGUACGGAAUAACUCAGAGAAAUUUGAGCUAAUACCGUAUGAUGACGUAAGUCCAAAGAUUUAUCGCCCUGGGAUGAGCCCGCGUAGGAUUAGCUUGUUGGUGAGGUAAAAGCUCACCAAGGCGACGAUCCUUAGCUGGUCUGAGAGGAUGAUCAGCCACACUGGGACUGAGACACGGCCCAGACUCCUACGGGAGGCAGCAGUGGGGAAUAUUGGACAAUGGGCGAAAGCCUGAUCCAGCAAUGCCGCGUGAGUGAUGAAGGCCUUAGGGUUGUAAAGCUCUUUACCCGGGAAGAUAAUGACUGUACCGGGAGAAUAAGCCCGGCUAACUCCGUGCCAGCAGCCGC